AUUCAAAGCACAUGAAACACCUCUUGCCAGCAAAGAGAGCUGUGUUGCUAUCUUGGAAAAAUCCAGAUUAGAUCACUGGGUGCUGGGAAAAACAAAGGUUUUUCUCAAAUAUUACCAUGUCGAGCAGUUAAAUUUGUUGCUGCAAGAAGUCAUAGGCAGAGUGGUUGUGCUGCAGGCAUAUGCCAAGGGGUGGCUUGGAGCCAGGAGAUACAAAAGAAUCAGAGAGAGGAAAGAGAAGGCGGCGAUUGCCAUUCAAUCAGCCUGGAGAGGAUAUGAUGCUUGGAAGAAAUUUAAGAAAAUAAGCAACAGAAGGAGUGAGUCUGCGGUUCCUAUUCAAGCAGGACACCCUUUAGACCAAAGCAGUGAUCUGCAGCCCACUGUCACAAGGGAUAGCAAGAGAAGUGCCCAGGAUCAAGACUGCAGUAAACCUGGUGACCACACAGGUGGGGUCAUUAGAGG